rnacentral:rRNA from 1 species
GAUGAACGCUGACAGAAUGCUUAACACAUGCAAGUCUACUUGAAUUUGGGUUUUUUAACUUAGAUUUGGGUGGCGGACGGGUGAGUAACGCGUAAAGAACUUGCCUCACAGCUAGGGACAACAUUUGGAAACGAAUGCUAAUACCUGAUAUUAUGAUUAUAAGGCAUCUUAGAAUUAUGAAAGCUAUAUGCGCUGUGAGAGAGCUUUGCGUCCCAUUAGCUAGUUGGAGAGGUAACGGCUCACCAAGGCGAUGAUGGGUAGCCGGCCUGAGAGGGUGAACGGCCACAAGGGGACUGAGACACGGCCCUUACUCCUACGGGAGGCAGCAGGGGGGAAUAUGGGACAAUGGACCAAGAGUCUGAUCCAGCAAUUCUGUGUGCACGAUGACGUUUUUCGGAAUGUAAAGUGCUUUCAGUUGGGAAGAAAAAAAUGACGGUACCAACAGAAGAAGUGACGGCUAAAUACGUG